CAAACGGUAAAUGCUGCCCAUCCUGUUUUAAAGAAAACUUUAAAGGCGAAUGCAUUUCUACAGAGAUGAUGCAAUGCCGCGGGAAUCAAAAUAAAUGCUUUGAAUAUCAAGGAACGGUGGAGAAAGCAGAUUUGAGCGUCUGGGAUUACAGUAUGAAGGGCUGCAUUAGUGAUCUGGGAUGUAGUCUGAUGUUUGACGCAUUGCCCAGGACCAAGGAGGUGGAAGAAAGAGUAUUCGAAUGUACCGAACCAUUACCUAGCACCGAGUGCGCCAAGGAUUAAUUCUCGCUAUUGUCCACAAUUCCAUGAAGUAUGGCCAUCUGUAACAUGAAAAAUGUGUGGCUUUUGCAUUAAAAUUUGAUCAGGGAAAAAAAAUCUCAUUCCUUCAACACACUUCAAAAUAAUUGAUUUAAUGAUUUCUAAUAAAAAUGUUCCUCAUGCAUGCGCACUUACUGCGGUUCUUACUGUUUGUUGACAAUCUCUCAUUCUUCCACAGCAGAGAUGCAGGAAGGCAAUUGGCAAAAAAUAUACAUCACUCUGAUUACGUACAUACUUUUAAUAAAAAUACGAUUCUUGUUACUAUUUGCUUGCUCUUGUAUCCUCUCUGACCAAUUAAUAAAUAAAUCUUAGUAACCUAGAAAA